rnacentral:rRNA from 1 species
GACGAACGCUGGCGGCGUGCUUAACACAUGCAAGUCGAGCGGAGCGGCGAACGGGUGAGUAACGCGUGAGUAACUGCCCCCCUCUCUGGGAUAACAGUUGGAAACGGCUGCUAAUACCGGAUAGCGGGGGAUGACUCGCGUCCUAUCAGCUUGUUGGUGGGGUAGUGGCCUACCAAGGCGACGACGGGUAGCCGGCCUGAGAGGGCGACCGGCCACAUUGGGCUGGGAUACGGCCCAAACUGCUACGGGAGGCAGCAGUGGGGAAUAUUGCACGAUGGGGGGAACCCUGAUGCAGCAGCGCCGCGUGCGGGAGGACGGCCUUCGAGUUGUAAGCCGCGUUCGGCCAUGACGCGGUAGUGACAGAGGAAGCACCGGCUAACUACGUGCCAGCCGCCGCGGUAAUUC